GCCGCAGUGGCGGAACUGGCAGACGCACAGGACUUAAAAUCCUGCGGGAAUAACCUCCCGUACCGGUUCGAUUCCGGUCUGCGGCA
rnacentral:tRNA from 1 species